AUUAUAGAUUGCCUAAUAUAUGCCCAAAGGGAACAAUGGAUUUCAUUAAUGGAAAUCAACACAAUUUAACAGAACAUAUUUGUUUGUUCAGAUCACAUCCUUAGAAGUGAUUUCUUAUAUAAAAAAGAUAAUAUUAUCAGUAGCCAGACUUAAACAGAUUAAAAAAAUCAGCUCUACCUCAAAGGUAAUUUUUUUUUAAAUAUAUUUUUCUAGUAUAAAAAAAUCGUCACAAAAAGGAUUAGUGUUACUCAUAUAAGCUUUAUUUAUACCUAAUACUUAUUAAAUUAGGUAUGUAUGUAAAACUAUUUUUUUACUAGGAUUUCUGAUGCACUGGUUAAAAACACAGCAGCUGAUAAUUCAGUUAAUUUACCAAGUGAUUUACCCUUCAAAGCUGCAGGGGUAGUUUUCCUGAAGAGUGCAAAAACUUCUUUAGCUUCCAAAAUGGUAUAUAGUACAAACAGUGAAGCUGAUAUAGACAAAUCUGAUCAUUCAUCAUCAACAAUAACUGCAUCUGAGAUUAAUAGUUCUACAGUAACCGUGGGGUCUAGGUCAACAAUUACUAUUUCUCAUCCAAUCCGUUUUUGUUUAACUGCUACACAUUCCCUGACUCUGCCAAGGAAAAGGGUAAAAUCAAAAUGAUAUCCUGAGGACCUAAGCACUGAUGAUUCCACCGUUUCAAAAGCUAAAUCACUUGUUACCAAAUUAUGGAAAAAAAAUAAAGAGCAAAAAAUUAAAAUUCGAAGAUUGCAAUAAACAAAUUUGCCCCAAAGAAAUUGAAUUAGAUGUCUCAAAUCAUUAUUAAAAUACUUAAGAAAUAAUAACAUGAUUUUCGAAAAAGCCCAACAUACUACAUAUUUUAUUUGACUUGUAAAAGUACUUGUUUGUAUAUUUUUACUAAUAAACUAUUUAAUCUAAUCUA